rnacentral:rRNA from 1 species
ARGUCGUGACAUGGUWUCAGUAGGUGAACCUGCGGAAGGAUCAUUG